UCCUUCCAGUUGCACGCAGCUUGCAUUUGAGCCAUUGUAUUCAAUGUUACAAUUAAAACUGAACAAAGAAAUAAGCCAGAGUAAAUUUAAUUUGGUAUAUUUAUUUUCUUAACACCAAAUUUCAGAUAUGGUAUUGGAAGAUGUCACUGAAUUGUGAGUAGUGUUAUAAAUUAAAGAAUGCAUAGGGGGAAUCUCUGUGUUUGAUUUAAGGCAGUUUUAGUGCCGUUGAGUCAGUAAAAGGAUGUAGGAGAGCACACUGCCUGUUUGAAUUAUUCUAAAGAGAGAAAGUUUACCUACUGAUGUUAGUAAAAUUGGAUUGGAGGAUUAUUACCGUAAUGUAUUUGUCACUAAUUGCUAGGAAGUUAGUGGAGACAAAGGUUUAAGGUAAAAGAUACUAAAAGCAGCCAGGGAUAUUAGGGCUCAGAUCAAGUAAAGGAACUGAUAAUGAAAACAUUUAAUGUUUUAA
rnacentral:lncRNA from 1 species